UGCCAGCAGCCGCGGUAACACGGGGGGCGCAAGCGUUAUUCGGAAUUAUUGGGCGUAAAGGGCGCGUAGGCGGUCCGCUCAGUCAGGUGUGAAAUCCCUCGGCUCAACCGGGGAACUGCAUCUGAUACUGGCGGACUCGAGGACGGUAGGGGUGAGCGGAACUCCAGGUGGAGCGGUGAAAUGCGUAGAUAUCUGGAGGAACACCGGUGGCGAAAGCGGCUCACUGGGCCGUCUCUGACGCUGAGGCGCGAAAGCUAGGGUAGCAAACGGGAUUAGAUA
rnacentral:rRNA from 1 species